rnacentral:sRNA from 1 species
GAACUCGAUUCCGAUUACCGCAGGUCUCUCGGACUAGUUGAGAGGAUCAUUGUCGUUCCAGGUGCAUGUGGUUCGUCCGAUAGAUCGUAGCGUGGCGAAAGCACCGGAGCAGUCUCAGGAAUUACAAUGCGCCUGUAAAACCGGCUAGGCUUCCGACAUAGACGCGGUGGUCUGUCCCCCGAGUGCCAUUCUUCUGGAUCUGAUGCAGCGCAAUGUUCUUUUGCGUCUGCCGACGGGCGAGCUCGGUCAACGUAAUACAACUGCUUCGAAUUGAGGCUACCAUAUCUUCUGCUAGAGCGGAACAUGUUCCCUCGGGAAUGUGAACAACAACCGGCCUGGCCUCUGGAUCUGGAGAUCCAUGAGAGUUAAUGGGCCGACAACAUCCCGCGAGGUUAUAAUAGUGGUCCCGAAAUCGAGAAGGCUGGGCCAGCGGACACAGCACUGACUACGGGGUGAAAUUAUACAUUUCAUGUAUUCCACAGCACCCUGAUAGCCCAAAUCCUCUGUUGAUAAAAACAGGACUCCCAUCCGAGUCAGUGGAGAUAUAUCGGGUGCUGCUUUCCAUCGGCCAGCCCACGCACUGCUCUUGGGUAACGCAUUUGCGACACGAGCGAUGUCUGCCAUAGCCUCGGGAGAAUAGCGCAACACCUCUUGCCAUGGUUCGGGGAUUCUGGCAAACUCUACUAGUUCCACAAAUGCCCCGUUGGGGCAGUAUGCGUUCAGAACAGAUUGGGGAGGGGUUUGACCGAUCACCGUUCCAACCGGGAAUUGCCUGAAUGCGGCACGGUCCCGACGUCCCCGUGGGCCUACUAAGGCCCCGGUCAUAAUAUCGACGGGAACUGGGCCAUGGGAUGUGUUGAAUCUGUGGAUAGCUUCUACUAUCUCUGGACUAUCCCGGUUUCUUGGGGUAAGUAGUCCUCAUCUUCCAGUUUACGCGUUCGGGGCGAUGUUUUUCUCCCCUUAGACUGCGGUCCGGAUCGCCCACCACGAUUACUACCUCUGCCCCGACGCGGGCGGCUCGAACAAUCAGCCCGCGGUCUGGGGGGCGACGGAGAUGGUGACCUAGAUGAUGAAGGUGAAGACGGGACGAUUAGAGAAGAUGAUGACGGUGAGGAUGAUGAAGAGGAGGAAGAUGAAGAGGAUGGCGAUCUGGAAACAUGUCCGACGUUCCGGGCCGCGUGGUCUGGGGGAACUUCGUGGAGAUGAGGUUGUGUGAGGCAGUUCGCUCAUUCUGCCAGAAGAUGGAGUAGUCAGCCGUGGACCUGAGGUGAGUGGUGCAGCUCAACUCUAGCUUCGCGAAUGGCCGCGGAGAGCGCAGGAGGCAGCGUGGUAGAUGGUUGUGGCAUCUCAAAAGUAACUUCGCAGCCAGGCAUUUAAAGUCUUUCCAUGCCAAACCGGUCCAGGGAUUGGUGCUUCCAUCUCGGCCGUCCACCCAGGUAAUCUCGGGCAAUGGGAACAGCAAUCACUUUCGAAUUCCUUCAGCCCAAAGCACAACCGCGGGUCCACCGGGACUCUCCGACAUAGCUCGAGCCAAAAGGGAAUUGUAGCCCAGGCAAGAAGGGCGGUGCAUAUCUGCAAGUAAACAAAACUCGGGGUUCUGUACGAUUGGCCGGGGUCUUACAUGCUCGCCGAAUUGGAUUUGAGAAUCAAUCUUCCGACGGGUCUCCUGACUUGAACAGGGGAAAGGGGGAGGGGGAGUGUGUUAUCUUGUCGCGAACCAAUAA